rnacentral:rRNA from 1 species
GACGUAGGGUGCGAGCGUUGUCCGGAUUUAUUGGGCGUAAAGAGCUCGUAGGCGGCUUGUCGCGUCGACCGUGAAAACUUGGGGCUCAACCCCAAGCCUGCGGUCGAUACGGGCAGGCUAGAGUUCGGUAGGGGAGACUGGAAUUCCUGGUGUAGCGGUGAAAUGCGCAGAUAUCAGGAGGAACACCGGUGGCGAAGGCGGGUCUCUGGGCAGUAACUGACGCUGAGGAACGAAAGCGUGGGUAGCGAACAGG